CACGUAGUUAGCCGUGACUUUCUGGUUAGAUACUGUCAAGGUUGAGGCAGUUACUCCUCAACUUGUUCUUCUCUAAUAACAGAACUUUACGAUCCGAAGACCUUCUUCAUUCACGCGGCAUUGCUCCAUCAGGUUUGCACCCAUUGUGGAAGAUUCCCUACUGCUGCCUCCCGUAGGAGCCUGGGCCGUGUCUCAGUCCCAGUGUGGCCGAUCACCCUCUCAGGUCGGCUACGUAUCGUCGCCUUGGUGAGCCAUUACCUCACCAACUAACUAAUACGCCGCGGGAUCAUCUAAGAGCGACAGCAAAGCCGUCUUUCAUUCAUGAACCAUGCGGUUCGCGAAUCUAUGCGGUAUUAGCAUCCGUUUCCGAAUGUUAUCCCCCAUCCUAGGCAGAUUCCCCACGUGUUACUCACCCGUUCGCCACUCAUCCACACUCUGCAAGCAGAGUGCUUCAGCGUUCGACUUGCAUGUAUUAGGC
rnacentral:rRNA from 1 species